GAUGAGAAGAAAAACAGGUCUCAUUCUGAUUCAGAAGCAGAGAUGAAAGAAAAAGCUGCUGUCCUCGUUCCACCAGAUUUGUGUUAUCUGUAUUUAAAGAAAUUGAAAUGCACACAUCAAAGGAACAUUCCCUUAGAAAGAGAGG
rfam:Tupaia chinensis contig204798, whole genome shotgun sequence.